AUGGUUUUCUUGGUUGGUGGAGAAUUUUUUUAUCGUUAAUUAUGUUAAUGAAUGAGAUCUCAUUAUGUUAACUAGAUAUGUGGAACUUCCCCUUCAAGAUCAACUUCUUAGAGGGGAUAUGGUCAUUUAAGCCAUGCAAGUUUGUGGAAAUAAUAGAUAUGUGA
rnacentral:ncRNA from 1 species